rnacentral:rRNA from 1 species
UACAGAGGUCCCAAGCGUUGUUCGGAAUCACUGGGCGUAAAGCGCACGUAGGCGGAUUCGUAAGUCAGGGGUGAAAUCCCGGGGCUCAACCUCGGAACUGCCUUUGAUACUGCGGGUCUUGAGUCCGAUAGAGGUGGGUGGAAUUCCUAGUGUAGAGGUGAAAUUCGUAGAUAUUAGGAAGAACACCGGUGGCGAAGGCGGCCCACUGGAUCGGUACUGACGCUGAGAUGCGAAAGCGUGGGGAGCAAACAGG